rnacentral:lncRNA from 1 species
CUGAUUAUGAGUCUUAUGUGUCUGAGACUCUAUGAUUGAGAAUUAGGAUUCUCUAAUCAUGAGUUUCACACAUUUGGGUACCGGGGUCAAAAUUUUGAAUUUCAAAUUUUGAAUUUGAAAUUUGAACUCUUUGAUCAGGGUUUCAUAUCGAUGGUCUCUGAUGCCUAAUUGCCCAUCGAAUUUGGACUCAAUAUUUAUGAGAGGUUUAAUUAGUGAUUUGAUCGCUAAUUAACUCAAUUUGAUUUAGUAAUUAUUUUUAGAUCAAGUCCAAUUGAAU